GGCGGUCGCCUCCUAAAAGGUAACGGAGGCGCUCAAAGGUUCCCUCAGAAUGGUUGGAAAUCAUUCAUAGAGUGUAAAGGCAUAAGGGAGCUUGACUGCGAGACCUACAAGUCGAGCAGGGUCGAAAGACGGACUUAGUGAUCCGGUGGUUCCGCAUGGAAGGGCCAUCGCUCAACGGAUAAAAGCUACCCCGGGGAUAACAGGCUUAUCUCCCCCAAGAGUUCACAUCGACGGGGAGGUUUGGCACCUCGAUGUCGGCUCAUCGCAUCCUGGGGCUGUAGUCGGUCCCAAGGGUUGGGCUGUUCGCCCAUUAAAGCGGUACGCGAGCUGGGUUCAGAACGUCGUGAGACAGUUCGGUCCCUAUCCGUCGUGGGCGUAGGAAAUUUGAGAGGAGCUGUCCUUAGUACGAGAGGACCGGGAUGGACAUACCUCUGGUGUACCAGUUGUCGUGCCAACGGCAUAGCUGGGUAGCUAUGUGUGGACGGGAUAAGUGCUGAAAGCAUCUAAGCAUGAAGCCCCCCUCAAGAUGAGAUUUCCCAACUUCGGUUAUAAGAUCCCUCAAAGAUGAUGAGGUUAAUAGGUUCGAGGUGGAAGCAUGGUGACAUGUGGAGCUGACGAAUACUAA
rnacentral:rRNA from 1 species